CAGCUCCCUCCUCGACAAGAUCGCGGUUUUUACGCCCUCAAGUCGCUAAAGAAGCUUUUUCCAUCUUGAAGUUUGUGCUUCAGGUCUUGUGGAGAAUUGGAAGUUUGUGACAGUGGGAAAUGAAAGCUUUAAUCAAAGUGAUCACAGGGAAGGAUUUCAGCAACAGCAGGUCAACAACACGGUGGAAAUUUCCUCAAAGGCUCCAGCUCCAAUCAGUCCUGAACGGAAGUGUGAGUGAGGCUCACGGAAGGAAUAAACAUAAAGAGGAAUUGGGUUCUUUCAAUAUAGUAGUAAUGGAGAUGAAAGGGUUAAUUCAAAAGGUCAGGCUAAGGAUUAGAAGUUGUAGAAGUGUAACUUGCAUUAUUAUAGACAAUACUUUUUGACUUCUCAGUCACAAUUAAUUUGGGGGUAGGCGGAGGAAACCAUGUGUAAAGAGCACCCUUUGUAAUACUCUGGCUCGUGAGAUGGCAUCAGGAGUCACUGCCAACUUCAGGAGACAGAACAGAGCAGGGAAUGUGACAGUGCUCCCCAGUGCUGUCACUGCACAGAUCCUCCUCCUCUCCAGCCCGGCAUCAUCAAGGGCAGUGACACCACUCCCUCAGGGAAAGCUUUUGGAGAAGCAGCUCUAACUCAGCAUGUUACUGGAGUGCACUUCAGGGCUGUUCUUAGAACACAUCACAAGGGCCAAUUAGUUGCUGUUAAACUUUUCAGAGGUGAGUGGGAGCACAGAGCAUGGAAAAGCAAAUGUAAAACAUUGUUUUAUAAUUCUGCUAGAAAUACAGUAAAGACUUGGUGGGCUAC